rnacentral:rRNA from 1 species
AUACGGAGGGUGCAAGCGUUAAUCGGAAUUACUGGGCGUAAAGCGCUCGUAGGCGGCUUGUUAAGUCGGAUGUGAAAGCCCCGUGCUCAACCUGGGAACUGCAUUCGAUACUGGCAAGCUAGAGUAUAGUAGAGGCAAGUGGAAUUCCGGGUGUAGCGGUGAAAUGCGUAGAUAUCAGGAGGAACAUCAGUGGCGAAGGCGACUUGCUGGACUAAUACUGACGCUGAGGAGCGAAAGCGUGGGGAGCAAACGGGAUUAGAAACCCCGGUAGUCC